rnacentral:rRNA from 1 species
UACGAAGGGGGCUAGCGUUGCUCGGAAUCACUGGGCGUAAAGCGCACGUAGGCGGCUUAGUAAGUCGGGUGUGAAAACCCCAGGCUCAACCUGGGGACGCCACCCGAUACUGCUAUAGCUAGAGUCCAGUAGGGGAGUGUGGAAUUCCCAGUGUAGCGGUGAAAUGCGCAGAUAUUGGGAGGAACACCAGCGGCGAAGGCGGCACUCUGGGCUGGUACUGACGCUGAGGAGCGAAAGCGUGGGUAGCGAACAGG